CACGUAGGGCGCAAGCGUUGUCCGGAAUUAUUGGGCGUAAAGAGCUCGUAGGCGGUCUGUCGCGUCGGCUGUGAAAUCCCGAGGCUCAACCUCGGGUCUGCAGUCGAUACGGGCAAACUAGAGUAUUGCAGGGGAGACUGGAAUUCCUGGUGUAGCGGUGAAAUGCGCAGAUAUCGGGAAGAAAACCCGUGGCGAAGGCGGCACUCUGGGACGGUACUGACGCUGAGACGCGAAAGCGUGGGGAGCGAACAGG
rnacentral:rRNA from 1 species